GUUGUAUGGUUAAGUGACUAAGCGUACACGGUGGAUGCCUGGGCAGUCAGAGGCGAUGAAGGACGUACUAACUUGCGAUAAGCGCAGAUAAGGCAGUAAGAGCCGUUUGAGUCUGCGAUUUCCGAAUGGGGAAACCCAACUGCAUAAGCAGUUACUGUUAACUGAAUACAUAGGUUAACAGAGCAAACCGGGGGAACUGAAACAUCUAAGUACCCCGAGGAGAAGAAAUCAACCGAGAUUCCGGUAGUAGCGGCGAGCGAACCUGGAUUAGCCCUUAAGCACUCGGUGAAGUAGGUGAACAAGCUGGAAAGCUUGGCGAUACAGGGUGAUAGCCCCGUAACCGACGCUUCAUCGAGCGUGAAAUCGAGUAGGGCGGGACACGUGAUAUCCUGUCUGAAUAUGGGGGGACCAUCCUCCAAGGCUAAAUACUCCUGACUGACCGAUAGUGAACCAGUACCGUGAGGGAAAGGCGAAAAGAACCCCUGUGAGGGGAGUGAAAUAGAACCUGAAACCGUGUACGUACAAGCAGUAGGAGCACCUUCGUGGUGUGACUGCGUACCUUUUGUAUAAU
rnacentral:rRNA from 1 species